rnacentral:lncRNA from 1 species
UGCUAAGACCAAGGUAGUACAAAUUCUCUUGACCCACUACCAAAAGCUCACCCUGAUGGAUCGAGACGGGUGUGAUCUGUAACCCAAUGAAUCGAUCAUCCGCACAUCCAGUACAUUUUCAGGGAUGGAUACCAAACAGAUGUUCCCUUCGACCUCUACUAAUUUGAGUCGAUGCCAUUGACGCACACUGAUUGCAUCAUGGAGGGGAAUUGGGGUUAAGAACUUCUCAUCUUUCAGAUCGAACAAUCCAAUUUUUCGGUCAGUCUUAUUCAGAAUAUACACGACUCCAUUUACACUGAUGCCAUCACCAUCGCUAGAAGUAAAAGUUUUUGUCGCCAUCGUAAAUCCGCCUCCGCCUCCAGAUGCCGGCGCCGAAUGUGACAACCUCAUAAAACGCCUCCGCUGUAGAGCCCCUUCGUGAAACCCGAGAUCGGAGUACCUUGUAUUCCUCGGUCACCGGCUGAUAUCCGAGAAAGCACUUGUGGGAGCGA